rnacentral:rRNA from 1 species
UACGAAGGGUGCAAGCGUUACUCGGAAUUACUGGGCGUAAAGCGUGCGUAGGUGGUGAGUUAAGUCUGAUGUGAAAUCCCCGGGCUUAACCUGGGAAUGGCAUUUGGGACUGCAAGGCUUGAGUGCGGCAGAGGAGACUAGAAUUCCUGGUGUAGCAGUGAGAUGCGUAGAUAUCAGGAGGAAUACCGAUGGCGAAGGCAGGUCUCUGGGCUGACACUGACGCUCAUGCACGAAAGCGUGGGGAGCAAACAGG